rnacentral:rRNA from 1 species
UGAUCUAGCCAUGGGCAGGUUGAAGGUUGGGUAACACUAACUGGAGGACCGAACCGACUAAUGUUGAAAAAUUAGCGGAUGACUUGUGGCUGGGGGUGAAAGGCCAAUCAAACCGGGAGAUAGCUGGUUCUCCCCGAAAGCUAUUUAGGUAGCGCCUCGUGAAUUCAUCUCCGGGGGUAGAGCACUGUUUCGGCAAGGGGGUCAUCCCGACUUACCAACCCGAUGCAAACUGCGAAUACCGGAGAAUGUUAUCACGGGAGACACACGGCGGGUGCUAACGUCCGUCGUGAAGAGGGAAACAACCCAGACCGCCAGCUAAGGUCCCAAAGUCAUGGUUAAGUGGGAAACGAUGUGGGAAGGCCCAGACAGCCAGGAUGUUGGCUUAGAAGCAGCCAUCAUUUAAAGAAAGCGUAAUAGCUCACUGGUCGAGUCGGCCUGCGCGGAAGAUGUAACGGGGCUAAACCAUGCAC